UACGUAGGGGGCAAGCGUUGUCCGGAAUCAUUGGGCGUAAAGAGCGUGUAGGCGGCUCGGUAAGUCCGCUGUGAAAGUCCAGGGCUCAACCCUGGAAAGCCGGUGGAAGCUGUCGAGCUCGAGUCCGGAAGAGGCGAGUGGAAUUCCUGGUGUAGCGGUGAAAUGCGCAGAUAUCAGGAGGAACACCAAUGGCGAAGGCAGCUCGCUGGGACGGUACUGACGCUGAGACGCGAAAGCGUGGGGAGCAAACAGG
rnacentral:rRNA from 1 species